UACAGAGGUCCCAAGCGUUGUUCGGAUUCAUUGGGCGUAAAGGGCGCGUAGGCGGCCUGACAAGUGGAAGGUGAAAUCCCUCGGCUUAACCGAGGAACUGCCCUCCAAACUGUCUGGCUUGAGACCGGGAGAGGUGAGUGGAAUUCCCAGUGUAGCGGUGAAAUGCGUAGAUAUUGGGAGGAACACCAGUGGCGAAGGCGGCUCACUGGACCGGUACUGACGCUGAUGUGCGAAAGCGUGGGGAGCAAACGGG
rnacentral:rRNA from 1 species